rnacentral:rRNA from 1 species
GUCAGACGAACGCUGGCGGCGUGCCUAAUACAUGCAAGUCGAGCGGACAGAAGGGAGCUUGCUCCCGGAUGUUAGCGGCGGACGGGUGAGUAACACGUGGGUAACCUGCCUGUAAGACUGGGAUAACUCCGGGAAACCGGAGCUAAUACCGGAUAGUUCCUUGAACCGCAUGGUUCAAGGAUGAAAGACGGUUUCGGCUGUCACUUACAGAUGGACCCGCGGCGCAUUAGCUAGUUGGUGGGGUAAUGGCUCACCAAGGCGACGAUGCGUAGCCGACCUGAGAGGGUGAUCGGCCACACUGGGACUGAGACACGGCCCAGACUCCUACGGGAGGCAGCAGUAGGGAAUCUUCCGCAAUGGACGAAAGUCUGACGGAGCAACGCCGCGUGAGUGAUGAAGGUUUUCGGAUCGUAAAGCUCUGUUGUUAGGGAAGAACAAGUGCGAGAGUAACUGCUCGCACCUUGACGGUACCUAACCAGAAAGCCACGGCUAACUACGUGCCAGCAGCCGCGGUAAUACGUAGGUGGCAAGCGUUGUCCGGAAUUAUUGGGCGUAAAGGGCUCGCAGGCGGUUUCUUAAGUCUGAUGUGAAAGCCCCCGGCUCAACCGGGGAGGGUCAUUGGAAACUGGGAAACUUGAGUGCAGAAGAGGAGAGUGGAAUUCCACGUGUAGCGGUGAAAUGCGUAGAGAUGUGGAGGAACACCAGUGGCGAAGGCGACUCUCUGGUCUGUAACUGACGCUGAGGAGCGAAAGCGGGGG